UCCCGCAUAGCUUAGUCAGUAAAGAAUCUGCCUGCAAGGCAGGAGACCCAGGUUCGAUCCCUGGGUUGGGAA
rnacentral:tRNA from 1 species